rnacentral:rRNA from 1 species
CCUACGGGAGGCAGCAGUGGGGAAUAUUGCACAAUGGGGGAAACCCUGAUGCAGCGACGCCGCGUGAGUGAGGAAGUCUUUCGGUAUGUAAAGCUCUAUCAGCAGGGAAGAAAAUUACGGUACCUGACUAAUAAGCCCCGGCUAACUACGUUCCAGCAGCCGCGGUCAUACGUCGGGGGCAAGCGUUAUCCGGAUUUACUGGGUGUAACGGGAGCGUAGGAGGCUAAUCAAGUCAGAAGUGAAAACCCAGGGCUCAACCUUGGGACUGCUUUUGAAACUGAGUAGCUAGAGUGCAGGAGAGGUAAGCGGAAUUCCGAGUGUAGCGGUGAAAUGCGUAGAUAUUAGGAGGAACACCAGUGGCGAAGGCGGCUUACUGGACUGUAACUGACGUUGAGGCUCGAAAGCGUGGGGAGCAAACAGGAUUAGAUACCCCUGUAGUC